GAGUUUGAUCAUGGCUCAGAACGAACGCUGGCGGCAUGCCUAACACAUGCAAGUCGAACGAGACCUUCGGGUCUAGUGGCGCACGGGUGCGUAACGCGUGGGAACCUGCCUUUAGGUUCGGAAUAACAGUGAGAAAUUACUGCUAAUACCGGAUAAUGUCUUCGGACCAAAGAUUUAUCGCCUUUAGAUGGGCCCGCGUUGGAUUAGCUAGUUGGUGGGGUAAAGGCCUACCAAGGCGACGAUCCAUAGCUGGUCUGAGAGGAUGAUCAGCCACACUGGGACUGAGACACGGCCCAGACUCCUACGGGAGGCAGCAGUGGGGAAUAUUGGACAAUGGGCGAAAGCCUGAUCCAGCAAUGCCGCGUGAGUGAUGAAGGCCUUAGGGUUGUAAAGCUCUUUUACUGGGGAUGAUAAUGACAGUACCCAGAGAAUAAGCUCCGGCUAACUCCGUGCCAGCAGCCGCGGUAAUACGGAGGGAGCUAGCGUUGUUCGGAAUUACUGGGCGUAAAGCGCACGUAGGCGGCUUUUUAAGUCAGGGGUGAAAUCCCGGGGCUCAACCCCGGAACUGCCCUUGAAACUGGGAAGCUAGAAUCUUGGAGAGGCGAGUGGAAUUCCGAGUGUAGAGGUGAAAUU
rnacentral:rRNA from 1 species